rnacentral:rRNA from 1 species
AAGUGGUACGCGAGCUGGGUUUAGAACGUCGUGAGACAGUUCGGUCCCUAUCUGCCGUGGGCGCUGGAGAAUUGAGGGGGGCUGCUCCUAGUACGAGAGGACCGGAGUGGACGCAUCACUGGUGUUCGGGUUGUCAUGCCAAUGGCACUGCCCGGUAGCUAAAUGCGGAAGAGAUAAGUGCUGAAAGCAUCUAAGCACGAAACUUGCCCCGAGAUGAGUUCUCCCUGAGACUAUAAGUCUCCUGAAGGAACGUUAAAGACGAUGACGUUGAUAGGCCGGGUGUGUAAGCGCAGCGAUGCGUUGAGCUAACCGGUACUAAUGAACCGUGAGGCUUAACCUUACAACGCCGAAG